rnacentral:rRNA from 1 species
ACUUAAAAUUUAAGCUUCUACACCUAAAAAUAAUUUUAAUCCAACAUCGAGGUCGCAAACUUUUUUAUUAAUAUGAACUUUUAAAAAAAAUUACGCUGUUAUCCCUAAGGUAAUUUAAAUUUUUAAUCAAUAAAAUUAGAUCAGUUAUUCAUUAAUUUAUGUUUAAAAAUAAUAAAAGGUUUUUAAAUUUUAUUGUCACCCCAACAAAAUAUUAUUAACUAUAAAAAUUUAAUUUUUCUUAAAAAUUUAUUUAAUUUAAUAAUAUAAAACUCUAUAGGGUCUUCUCGUCUUUCAAUUAUAUUUAAGCAUUUUUACUUAAAAUUUAAAUUUUAUUAUAAUUUUUAUGAUACAGUUUUUAUUUCGUUCAACCUUUCAUACAAGUUUUCAAUUAAAAAACUAAUGAU